CUGUUGGUGCCCCAAGCCCAGGGAAGAACCUGCCCCAGGGACAGAGCUGCUGUCAGCCAGGGCUCAGAGCCUGCUCAGGGCACAGGCUGACUCUGAUGGAGCAGCUUUGUGUUCAUUCAAACCCCAUGACUCCAGUUGGUGAUUAUCUGCUGCUGGCAUCCCUCUGCUGCCAAGAAGCCUCUACCAACAUCCCUGUCCUGCUGUUCCAGGCACUGCAGAUCUGUACAGCCUGAGGCAGGAGGUGGGCAGAGAGAAGGGAACUGCCUUGAUAAAGGUCACAGAGCAGAAGGAAAACCAGCACCCUGAACCCUGCAAAGGCUCCAGACAAUUUGUCAAGCAGCCACUCAUCUCAGAGUCCAUCCUGGCCAAAUCUGCUGAGGACGUGAGCAACAGUGUUUUAAUGGGUACAUCUCCCACUGCGAAUCUGCUUCUCCAGAGCAGCUUUCUCACUGACCUGAAAGGCAGCAAUCGUGGCUCGUGUGUAAAUGUGUGUGACAGCGCUAAUGCACGGUAAUGGCUCCAGCACAUCCAGCGGGGCUGGCAGCACCGGCAGCUCGGGAUGGGUGCUCUGCUCCCCCAGCACAGAGGGAGAAGAUUGUUAAAAAUUAAUUCUCAUCUGAUGACUGCUAAUUAUCUUAGAGGCUGGUGGUAAAGUGCAGCAAAGGGACCAAAGACAGCGCUCAAGAAGAGCCCUGCGGGAGGAAUGCCGGCUUGGAUGGUGCCACUGAGCGGGAUCAGACGGAGGAUUUUAACUGAUGCUCCUCCAAUAGGAUGUCUG